rnacentral:lncRNA from 1 species
UGCAUGGUUACUCUGGCCAAUCCUAUCUUCUAACAGAUGAUAGUUCCUCACUACUAGCAUGAUGCACUUGAUUGCGAGUGUGAACUGUGGCUCUGGUUUCCAUCAUUGUCAUAGGAUUGAGAGCGUGGGCUAUUGUCAUAACUGUUACUGGGCCGAGAGUGUGAGCUAUGGCUUUUGUGGCCAUAACUGUUACCAGCCUGAGAGUAUGAGUUAUGACUUUGGUGGUCAUAACUGCUGAUGAGAAGCUCCUCUCUGUAUCGAGAAGGACUAGUCGAGGUUUCAGACUGGGAACUUGUAUCCUCGUAUGUAUCUUCUUUAGCAUAGCGAGGUUUUUUCCGGCUGGGCGGCUCGACUACAUCCAGCUUAUUAUUGUUCUUCUCUUCUAUCUCAAUGAACGAUUGAGCUCAUUGGAAGAGGUCGGGUAGGGUCUCCACUUUAUGGAGCGUAAGAUUCUGGGCCAAAGGGGAGUAGGGUACUAGCCCAAUCAUGUACCCCGCUAUGGCCAGACUCGGAAUCAGGUCGUUCACUUCUGUCAUCAUCGAAGUGAACUUAAUCGUGUAAUCCCUCAGAGACAGUUUGUUCUGUCGUAAUGCCAGCAGUGCGUUGGCAUUGUGUUUUAUUCUGAUCAUCCCCACAUGUUGGGCGAUGAACUUCGAAAAGAGGUCCGCGAAGCUGAAGACCGAGCCAGCUGGCAGACCAGAGAACCACAGAUAAUCGCUGACUUUAAGAGUCCCUGGGAAUGCCCGACUCAACAGUCCGUUAUCGGUGGUCUACGGUUCCAAGACACUAAGGUAGAGGUUGAUGUGAUCUUUUGAAUCACUCGAACCGUCAUACGCUUCUAUCUUGGGUAUCCGCCUGGUUGGUAGAAAAGAUUCUUUCAAAAGGUCCUUGUGAAAAGGAACGCUUUUGAUUCUCAAGAACUCGAUCGGAUUGUCGGCCAGCUUCCGACGGAGAUCUUCCACGAACUUUGUUGUAAAAGUCUUGUCAGUGCGACUCUUGCUAGGUUCAGCCUUUGCUUUAGGAGGCACUGGAGAUUUCCUUUUUUCUCCGCAGAUCGAGAAUAGUAAGACCCAGAUUCACCCGCUCCUUCGCGGAUGAUGGUCUUGUUGCCCCUCACUUUCUCGAGGUUGUCAACUCUUUUUUCUAUGGAAUCUAUAAAGUUAAUCAACCUCUCUUCUAGCGCAGGAGUUAGGUUCACUCCCCCAUUUGGUGGGAGUGAUGAGGGCACCUCAUGUGCCGACAGUGGUGUAUUGGAGGUUGGUAUAGUACGGGAACUAACCCUCCUACCAGAAGCUCCUACUUCAGUAGCAAUAGCGGGAGCUUUCUUUUUAUGAUCCUUAGUAAAAGGAGCCACAAAUAGGAUGGUUGCUUCUAUUGGGUCGAAGCAACAGACUACGAGUGGAAGUUCUUCCGAAGUGUCGGAAGCUAUGGGUAGGUACUUGCCCCCCCGGGCAUCACAAAACAGAAAAAAAUUGGUAUUUCUUUGUAGUUUUGUGACCCCCUUGAGCAGUACUAUUAGUCCCUAACUCAGUGAUGAAUGAAGACGAUGACUGGUCUUAUUCAGCCAAAGCGAUGAAUGAAGGCGAUGAAUGAAUGGUCUUAUUCAACUAGAGUAAUGAAUGAAGACGAUGAAUGAGUGGUCUUAUUCGGCCAAAGCGAUGAAUGAAGACGAUGACCGAAUCAACAAUUCAAUUGUGGGAAUCGCCUACUCAAUGUGGGAGUUGUCGAUUCAGUUGGGAAUCGUCGAUUCAGUUGGGAAUCGAGAAUCAUCGAUUCAGUUGGGAAUCGUUGAUUCAAGUGGGGAUUCAGAUGAGGAUAGACGAUUUUCUAUGAAAAAUCCAACCUAUAUGAAAUUGAAAGUACCAGAGCAAAAGGCAUUGACAGCACUUGCUCAAAAAGCUAAAGCAAUCGGCGACUCCCUAUGUGGAAUCGGUGAUUCAACUAAUGGCCUUUUUUGAACCAAGCCGUGGACAUCACUCUUAGCUAGCAGAAUAACCCGCAAUCGACGACUCACUAGGUGGAGUCAGCGAUUGCCUGUAUGAAUUGACGAUUCCUUGACACAAAGUCAGUGAUUCACCGCGGGAGGGAAUCGAGCCGAACUUUGCAAAGAAAAUUUCACGAUUACAACGGGAUAUCGUAGUUCGAUAGUCCCACAGACGGCGCCAGCUGAUGAAGCACGAAAUCUGCUACCAGUAGGCUCGCGGGGUUACGAGGAGGGACGGAGGCUUUGGAGUCCACGACGCGCGCUCUACGUCAAUGUACCUGCAGAGAGGAGGGGAAUCGACGACCCAGGUGUGAGAGUCGGCGACUCAGGCUCCUUAGUUGCUUUGGUUGGUGUGUGUGUCAAGUUGUUGUGGAGGGGAUGUGUUGAUGAAUGAGGACCCCCCAAGGGCCCCUUUUAUAGGGUCUUUGGGGUGUUUCUCAUUCAUUACCCAUGGGGCCCACGCUAUUAUGGUGCCCUAUUAAAGGUGUCAUAAUGACGUGGGCCAAGUCAAGUAACGGCUGGGAGUCGGUGACUCAGGGUGAGGCCAUCGAUUCCCCAUGAGCCAGGUUGGCAGCCUACCAGAACUGACCAACGAGGCCUGGAAUCGGUGGCUCACCUCUGGAGUCGGCGACUUGGUAGUCCCAGUCGCCGAUUCCCAGUGUUGACUUGAGUACUUGACGUAGACACUUGCCCGCAACCGUGGAUCUCUCCGGGGGUCUGGCAUAAAGCGACAGAACCCUAUUCCUUGUUGAAGGGCGUUGCUGGGAGUGACUGACAUAAUCAGGCAUGUCUCACCACCCGAGAAAGUCGAUCUUUGGAACGUCAACCUUGGGACCCGAUCUGAUCAGUUAGGCAGUUAGGCG